rnacentral:rRNA from 1 species
AUGUUUAAUGCAUGCAAAGAACGUAUUUUUACAAAGAUCCAUGUCUACUGGAUGGCGCAUAUUUUAUAUGACAUCUGUCAUCUGAUUCUUCAUGGUUGCUUGCAGAUAGAAAAUCAGGAGGCCGGUUCUUUGUCAAGAUCGAGAGGGUAUUCCCCGUUUAAAGAAGUCUCACUUGUAUGCAUCUUCUGGAAUUCAAGGGUCAGAACAUUCCUCUGGACCAUCAAGUAUGGUCUGCUUCCAGCAAGAUUUUUUUUUUCUAAUUUAUGCAUCAUUGAGUAUCAUGAUGUUUGUACUAUUUUUUUUCUUGUCCGCAGACAUCUCGGAGAUGCUGAUAAAAUUAGUCACCAAUUUUGGAAAUCGACAAUGUCUAUAUGGACAGCAAAGCUUGAUGUUGUAUUUUCCACUUACUCUACCUUCUACCACACACCACUGAACUUUUGCCUCCAGUGCAAAGAAUUAUACAUACCGCACAUUUCUGCUACAUAUGCAAUACUGUUGAAGCUUUUGACUGCGCAUACUUUACUAGGGAGUGAAGAUAGAGCAGACCGAUAUGUUUCAGUCUCUUUCCUCUUGUUCUGA